rnacentral:rRNA from 1 species
UACGGGGGGGGCAAGCGUUGUUCGGAAUUACUGGGCGUAAAGGGCUCGUAGGCGGCCAACUAAGUCGGACGUGAAAUCCCCAGGCUCAACCUGGGAACUGCGUCCGAUACUGGAUGGCUUGAAUUCGGGAGAGGGAUGCAGAAUUCCAGGUGUAGCGGUGAAAUUCGUAGAUAUCGGAAGGAACACCAGUGGCGAAAGCGGCUUCCUGGUCCAGCACCGACGUUCAGGCACGAAAGCGUGGGGAGCAAACAGG